GACGAACGCUGGCGGCGUGCUUAACACAUGCAAGUCGAACGGAAAGGCCCUGCUUUUGUGGGGUGCUCGAUUGGCGAACGGGUGAGUAACACGUGAGUAACCUGCCCUUUACUUUGGGAUAACUUCAGGAAACUUGGGCUAAUACCGGAUAGGAGCUCCUGCUGCAUGGUGGGGGUUGGAAAUUUUCGGCGGUUGGGGAUGGACGCGCGGCUUAUCAGCUUGUUGGUGGGGUAGUGGCUUACCAAGGGUUUGACGGGUAGCCGGCCUGAGAGGGUGACCGGCCACAAUGGGACUGAGAGACGGACCAGAAUGCAACGGGAGGCAGCAGUGGGGAAUAUUGCAAAAUGGGAGGAAGCCUGAGGCAGAAACGCCGCGUGCGGGAUGACGGCCUUCGGGUUGUAAAACGAUUUAGCAUGUGACGAAGCGUGAGUGACGGUAAUGGGUAAAGAAGCAACGGCUAACUACGUG
rnacentral:rRNA from 1 species